GCCCUUAGAGUUUGAUCAUGNCUCAGGAUGAACGCUAGCGGCAGGCCUAAUACAUGCAAGUCGGACGGGAUUGCAGUACAGCUUGCUGUACUGCAUGAGAGUGGCGCACGGGUGCGUAACGCGUGAGCAACCUGCCCAUAUCAGGGGGAUAGCCCGGAGAAAUCCGGAUUAACACCGCAUAACACAGUAUUUCCGCAUGGAUUUUCUGUUAAAUAUUUAUAGGAUAUGGAUGGGCUCGCGUGACAUUAGCUUGUUGGCGG
rnacentral:rRNA from 1 species